GAUGAACGCUGGCGGCGUGCCUAAUACAUGCAAGUCGAACGAAACUUCUUUAUCACCGAGUGCUUGCACUCACCGAUAAAGAGUUGAGUGGCGAACGGGUGAGUAACACGUGGGCAACCUGCCCAAAAGAGGGGGAUAACACUUGGAAACAGGUGCUAAUACCGCAUAACCAUAGUUACCGCAUGGUAACUAUGUAAAAGGUGGCUAUACUACCGCUUUUGGAUGGGCCCGCGGCGCAUUAGCUAGUUGGUAGGGUAAAGGCUUACCAAGGCAAUGAUGCGUAGCCGAAUUGAGAGGUUGAUCGGCCACAUUGGAACUGAGGCACGGCCCAAACUCCUACGGGAGGCAGCAGUAGGGAAUCUUCCACAAUGGGCGAAAGCCUGAUGGAGCAACGCCGCGUGGGUGAAGAAGGUCUUCGGAUCGUAAAACCCUGUUGUUAGAGAAGAAAGUGCGUGAGAGUAACUGUUCACGUUUCGACGGUAUCUAACCAGAAAGCCACGGCUAACUACGUG
rnacentral:rRNA from 1 species